rnacentral:rRNA from 2 species
GAAACGGCUGCUAAUACCCAAUAUGCCUCGGGGUGAAAGAUUUAUCGCCAGAAGAUGAGCUCGCGGCCGAUUAGUUAGUUGGUGGGGUAAAAGCCUACCAAGACGGCGAUCGGUAGCUGGUCUGAGAGGAUGAGCAGCCACACUGGGACUGAGACACGGCCCAGACUCCUACGGGAGGCAGCAGUGGGGAAUUUUCCGCAAUGGGCGCAAGCCUGACGGAGCAAGACCGCGUGGGGGAGGAAGGCUCUUGGGUUGUAAACCCCUUUUCUCAAGGAAGAACACAAUGACGGUACUUGAGGAAUCAGCCUCGGCUAACUCCGUGCCAGCAGCCGCGGUAAUACGGAGGAGGCAAGCGUUAUCCGGAAUUAUUGGGCGUAAAGGGUCCGCAGGUGGUGGGGCAAGUCGGCGGUUAAAGACUGGGGCUUAACUCCAGAAAGGCCGUGGAAACUGCACCACUAGAGGGCAGUAGGGGUAGAGGGAAUUCCCGGUGUAGCGGUGAAAUGCGUAGAGAUCGGGAAGAACACCAGUGGCGAAAGCGCUCUACUGGACUGACCCUGACACUGAGGGACGAAAGCUAGGGGAGCGAAAGGGAUUAGAUACCCCUGUAGUCCUAGCCGUAAACGAUGGA